ensembl:lncRNA
CCAUCCUUUGUCUCCCCUGAAUGGGAAUUUCUGCAAAGUUGUCCAAGCACGUCUAAGCUCACCUGAGAUGCCUCUCUAAUUCCCCAGCAGAGUCUACUCUGACCUGGAAGGCUCCCCGAUUCCCCAACUCGUCCACCUCUGCGAUGCCUCCCUAGUUCCCGAGGCGUGUCUACACCGACCUGGGAUGUCUCCCUAAUUCUCUAAGUGUGUCUCCACUGACUUGAUAUGUCUCCCCAUUUCCCAGCUUUGGGGACAAGGAUGGGAUCCAAAGGAGAUUGCUGAUGACUUUGGGGACAACAAGAUAUGCAGGUGUUAGUAUCUGCUGAACCAUUUGACUUCUCUGUCUUUCUCGCCAUUUCCGAGGACCAUGGUUCCCAGUGACCCAGAUGGGACCUGCUGGGAUACCCACCCCACUUGCUCUGGAGCCUGCAGACAGGAUCCAGGGAAAACUGGCAGAAGUUGGCAAAGGGGAUUCGUCUUCAAAGAGAUUCAUGGAAAGAUUCUACCAAGCGCUCUUGAAUGCUGACACCACUGCCAAGUUACAAGGUGUCAAACCUUGGGUGCACGUUUCACAAGUGGAACGAUCUGCCCUCUGGUCCUGCAUUGAUGGCGGAGAAUCAAAACUAACUUGACCAGGAAGAGAAGCAGCUGACACCACGUGGUAGACUGCUUCCUCCAAUGACAUUGGAUCAAGAAAGUUUGUUUCCAUUCCUCCUCCCCUCUUUGAUUAUCUUUUUCCUAAUUCUUGCCUUAAUUUAUAUAUCAUGAAGGUCUUUAUGAUUCUUUUGUCCACCUUUUUUGCUUGCUCUGUUCUGGAAAGAUAAUGACAUUGUUCUCAUCUUUCAUACCAUCACAAAGGAGGUCAUGCAACUGACCAUUGGAUUUGUCACGAGGCUGAUGAUCCUGUAGUUCUGCCCGUCACAAACUUCUCCCUGCUUUCCAGUGCCUCAGUUUCUCUGGAGCAGACUCAGCCCUCUCUCUAUUGUGCCAGACUCCGUAAUCGUGGGAGUCAAUUUCCCUGUCUCUGGUUAACAACGCCAAACCUAGGGAACCUUGCUUCUAGGCUCUGUAAAAAGAAAGAGACAUAAGGCAAGGGGAACCAGGAUAAAACAGCUGUGAGGGCUACAGGCCCCUACAUCUUACUGGCCUCCAGGGCUGUCACCUUUUCAGUCUGGAGCCUUGGCUGAUCACCCUGAACUCCACUAUUCUGACAGCCUUCACUAUGGGAAAUAACUCUUUUGGUGGCAUAAACUGUGCUCCUGCCAGAUACAUCUUUAUCUGUAGAGGACUGCCACUCUUCUGUGAAUAUUUCCCAGAGGGCCCCUGGAAAAUCUCAAAGCCCCUAGGUAACUCAACGUCUACAUAGAUGGAAGACGGUAAGAAGCUGUGGUCUGGGCUACCUAGUCAUGUCUCUGUCCACAACCAGACUGAGGCUUCACACUGUGCUGCACCUCUCAACCUGAGUUACAGACUCACAUUAGAAUUACCAGGACGCGUAUGUGGCUCAGGCUCUGCCUCCUUCGGCAGUCCUUACUGCCUUGGUUGGAAGUAGGUGCCAAAAAAACAAUGAUUAGAAAUCUGUUGCUUGCUUUAGGGGAAAUAGAGGGUCCUCUGCCAAAGCUAUAGCUUCCCAGAAUAGAUCAUUGGACUCACCUGCCAAAGUUGUCUUAGAUUAUAGAACAGCUCUUGACUAUCUCCUUGCUGAGCAGGUAGGUAUGCUAUAGACAAUACCUCUUGUAAUC